rnacentral:rRNA from 1 species
AUUGAACGCUGGCGGCAUGCCUUACACAUGCAAGUCGAACGGCAGCACGGGUGCUUGCACCUGGUGGCGAGUGGCGAACGGGUGAGUAAUACAUCGGAACAUGUCCUGUAGUGGGGGAUAGCCCGGCGAAAGCCGGAUUAAUACCGCAUACGAUCUACGGAUGACAGCGGGGGACCUUCGGGCCUCGCGCUAUAGGGUUGGCCGAUGGCUGAUUAGCUAGUUGGUGGGGUAAAGGCCUACCAAGGCGACGAUCAGUAGCUGGUCUGAGAGGACGACCAGCAACACUGGGACUGAGACACGGCCCAGACUCCUACGGGAGGCAGCAGUGGGGAAUUUUGGACAAUGGGCGAAAGCCUGAUCCAGCAAUGCCGCGUGUGUGAAGAAGGCCUUCGGGUUGUAAAGCACUUUUGUCCGGAAAGAAAUCCUUGGCCCUAAUACGGUCGGGGGAUGACGGUACCGGAAGAAUAAGCACCGGCUAACUACGUG